GGUUUGAUAUCCUUUGGGGAUUACGUUUCGGCCGUAGUUUUGGAGUUUGUUUACUUCUAUCAAUAGU
rnacentral:tRNA from 1 species